rnacentral:rRNA from 1 species
AGCGUACACGGUGGAUGCCUAGGCAAUCAGAGGCGAAGAAGGACGUGUUAAUCUGCGAAAAGCGACGGUAAGCUGAUAAAAAGCGUAAUAGCCGUCGAUGUCCGAAUGGGGAAACCCAGUGUAGGAAACUACACUAUCAUCUAAUGAAUUCAUAGUUAGAUGAGGCGAACCGGGAGAACUGAAACAUCUAAGUACCCCGAGGAAAAGAAAUCAACCGAGAUUCCCUGAGUAGCGGCGAGCGAAAGGGGAGGAGCCCAAGCGGGUAGCAUAAAGUAUUAGUGGAAGCGUCUGGAAAGUCGCACGAUAGAGGGUGAAAGUCCCGUACACGAAGGUACGUUAUGUGGAAGCUUAUAGAGUAGGGCGGGACACGUGAUAUCCUGUCUGAAGAAGGGGGGACCAUCCUCCAAGGCUAAAUACUCCUGAUUGACCGAUAGUGAACCAGUACCGUGAGGGAAAGGCGAAAAGAACCCCGGGAGGGGAGUGAAAUAGACCCUGAAACCGUGUACGUACAAUCAGUGGGAGCUGUUACCUAUUGGGUAAUAGUGACUGCGUACCUUUUGUAUAAUGGGUCAGCGACUUAUAUUCUGUAGCGAGGUUAACCGAAUAGGGGAGCCGAAGGGAAACCGAGUAUUAACUGUGCGUUAAGUUGCAGGGUAUAGACCCGAAACCCGGUGAUCUAGCCAUGGGCAGGUUGAAGGUUGGUUAACACUAACUGGAGGACCGAACCGACUAAUGUUGAAAAAUUAGCGGAUGACCUGUGGCUGGGGGUGAAAGGCCAAUCAAACCGGGAGAUAGCUGGUUCUCCCCGAAAGCUAUUUAGGUAGCGCCUCAUGAGUGACUGUUGGGGGUAGAGCACUGUUUCGGCUAGGGGGCCAUCCCGGCUUACCAACCCGAUGCAAACUCCGAAUACUGACAAGUUGAAUCAUGGGAGACACACGGCGGGUGCUAACGUUCGUCGUGAAGAGGGAAACAACCCAGACCGCCAGCUAAGGUCCCGAAGUCAUAGUUAAGUGGGAAACGAAGUGGGAAGGCUUAGACAGCUAGGAUGUUGGCUUAGAAGCAGCCAUCAUUUAAAGAAAGCGUAAUAGCUCACUAGUCGAGUCGGCCUGCGCGGAAGAUGUAACGGGGCUAAAACUAUGCACCGAAGCUGCGGCAGUGCACGCAAGUGUAUUGGGUAGGGGAGCGUUCUGUAAGCCGUAGAAGGUGUGUUGUGAGGCAUGCUGGAGGUAUCAGAAGUGCGAAUGCUGACAUAAGUAACGAUAAAGCGGGUGAAAAGCCCGCUCGCCGGAAGACCAAGGGUUCCUGUCCAACGUUAAUCGGGGCAGGGUGAGUCGACCCCUAAGGAGAGGCCGAAGGGCGUAUCUGAUGGGAAACGGGUUAAUAUUCCCGUACUGGCUAUAACUGCGAUGGGGUGACGAAGAAGGCUAGGUUUACCACCUAUUGGAUGGUGGGUUAAGCGUGUAGGGGUGUGAUUAGGCAAAUCCGGUCACUNNCCUCUAAGCUUCAGGUUAUAGUUAAUCGUACCCGAAACCGACACAGGUGGUCAGGUAGAGAAUACUAAGGCGCUUGAGAGAACUCGGGUGAAGGAACUAGGCAAAAUGGUGCCGUAACUUCGGGAGAAGGCACGCUGAUGUGUAAUUGAAAUCCCAUGCGGACGUAGGUGAAAUCAGUCGAAGAUACCAGCUGGCUGCAACUGUUUAAUAAAAACACAGCACUGUGCAAACACGAAAGUGGACGUAUACGGUGUGACGCCUGCCCGGUGCUGGAAGGUUAAUUGAUGGGGUUAUGCUUAUGCAGAAGCUCCUGAUCGAAGCCCCAGUAAACGGCGGCCGUAACUAUAACGGUCCUAAGGUAGCGAAAUUCCUUGUCGGGUAAGUUCCGACCUGCACGAAUGGCGUAAUGAUGGCCAGGCUGUCUCCACCCGAGACUCAGUGAAAUUGAAAUUGCCGUGAAGAUGCGGUGUACCCGUGGCAAGACGGAAAGACCCCGUGAACCUUUACUAUAGCUUGACAGUGAACAUUGAGCCUUAAUGUGUAGGAUAGGUGGGAGGCAAAGAAGCAUGCACGCCAGUGUGUGUGGAGUCGACCUUGAAAUACCACCCUUUAAUGUUUGAUGUUCUAACCUAUACUUUUGAAUCGAGGUAAGGGACACUGUCUGGUGGGUAGUUUGACUGGGGCGGUCUCCUCCCAAAGAGUAACGGAGGAGCACGAAGGUUAGCUAAUCCUGGUCGGACAUCAGGAGGUUAGUGCAAUGGCAAAAGCUAGCUUGACUGCGAGAGUGACGGCUCGAGCAGGUACGAAAGUAGGUCAUAGUGAUCCGGUGGUUCUGAAUGGAAGGGCCAUCGCUCAACGGAUAAAAGGUACUCCGGGGAUAACAGGCUGAUACCGCCCAAGAGUUCAUAUCGACGGCGGUGUUUGGCACCUCGAUGUCGGCUCAUCACAUCCUGGGGCUGAAGUAGGUCCCAAGGGUACGGCUGUUCGCCGUUUAAAGUGGUACGCGAGCUGGGUUUAGAACGUCGUGAGACAGUUCGGUCCCUAUCUGCCAUGGGCGUAGGAAAAUUGAGAGGGUUUGCUUCUAGUACGAGAGGACCGAAGUGAACGCACCGCUGGUGUUCGGGUUGUGAUGCCAAUUGCAUUGCCCGGUAGCUACGUGCGGAAUAGAUAAGUGCUGAAAGCAUCUAAGCACGAAACUAGCCUCGAGAUGAGUUUU